rnacentral:rRNA from 1 species
GUUUGAUCCUGGCUCAGAACGAACGCUGGCGGCAUGCCUAACACAUGCAAGUCGAACGAUGCCUUCGGGCAUAGUGGCGCACGGGUGCGUAACGCGUGGGAAUCUGCCUCUUGCUUCGGAAUAACAGUUAGAAAUGACUGCUAAUACCGGAUGAUGUCUUCGGACCAAAGAUUUAUCGGCAAGAGAUGAGCCCGCGUAGGAUUAGGUAGUUGGUGGGGUAAAGGCCUACCAAGCCGACGAUCCUUAGCUGGUCUGAGAGGAUGAUCAGCCACACUGGGACUGAGACACGGCCCAGACUCCUACGGGAGGCAGCAGUGGGGAAUAUUGGACAAUGGGGGAAACCCUGAUCCAGCAAUGCCGCGUGAGUGAUGAAGGCCUUAGGGUUGUAAAGCUCUUUUACCAGGGAUGAUAAUGACAGUACCUGGAGAAUAAGCUCCGGCUAACUCCGUGCCAGCAGCCGCGGUAAUAAGG